AGCUGAGUAAAUUUGAAGAUGAAAUUGGCUUUAUUCAAUGAUCCAUGAGUCGAGCAGCAACCCCCCCUAGCAAGGAGAAAGGGGGUCCACAGAGCUACAGAAAAAGAAAGAUUUUUAAAGGCAGGGAAGGGGUGGGACAAGGAAGUCAUAAACAAAAAGAAGGAUUAUUUCCAGCAAGGUCAUCUUCCUGUGGGGGACAAAAGGCAUCUAUUAGGCAGAUUAUCACACUAGUGCUGACCAGGAAAUCCCAGACUGACCAGUUAAGGUUACACUCCUGGGGAAGGUUGAAACUACAAUUAGACUAGGUAUUAAGUCUAAGUUUGGUUACGUGAGCUUGGCACGAGUGACUCCAUUUGGUGCCUGACGUUACUUUUUAACCAUUCCCUCCUUUUUGAUCAGACUCUCGGCUUAAUUGAGAGAUGUGAUAAAAAUAUACGGCAUUAACACCAGUGUCGGCUACUGCUCUCAAGUUCUCACAGUUUUUGCUGAUCCUCUGUGCGGCAUUCACAGGUCACGGCCUCAGGCUCACAUUCUUCAAGUUGGUCAUUCUCUGUGUUCCUUUCUGACGUUCCAGUCUUAGGGAGAUCAUUUGCUUGGUGGUUAACGUCUAAAAACGUGUGUUUAAAGUUUUUGAGAGAAUACAAUGCACCAGGGAGGUUAUUAUGAUUAUUAUAAGUAGGAUAAUUCCCAAUAUUUGGAGUGCAUUUUGGAGUCAUGGUCCCCAAGACCCAAGCCACUCAAAAUCAAACAAAUCACAGAAACACCCUUUUGAAGGAGUCACCUUUUUAAGCGGAGUGGCUUAAAUGAUUUUAUGUAACUGACUUUCGACUUCCCCAGAGUGUUAAUCCAGGUGCCGCUGGUGGUGCGGGCCACAGCACAGACACCUCCUUGCUCAGCUAAAAGAUAAUCAAGGGCUAUCCUGUUGUCAAGAACAACUUUGGCCAGAGAGUCUAAGAAUUUUUGUUAGGCAGCUUAUUGCUUUAGCAGCAGAUUCUGCAAUACUUUCAAGAGUUAAGGAGAGGUUUCUCCUCAUAGCCUCACUUACAUUUACUUCUAACCAGGGCAGUAGGGUUCUGCUAGUGGAAGCGAAUCCUGAAUCCUGAAUGCCUCCUGGUAACUCCUGUUUGAAUCUGUGGCUCAGGCCUUGGAGGCAGUAAUGUAAGGGUCUGUAGACCACACAGGCAGUUUUAUUCUGCUUACCCUUGCCUUGUGUCCCUUUCUUUGCAUAGAGCCUGGAUACAAAGUUCCCCAAGUUUGAAGCUCUUAACCAGAGACAGGGAAACAGACCAGGGGGUCUCUCGCAUAUAGAUUAGAGUUUUUGAUUACAGGUCUAGCAGUCUGAAGUGUUACCCUCCGUUAGCAAUGGCCUGGGAGAUAUGGAUGAUGGUGUUCUUUCCAGGCCAAUGUCAGAGUAAAGGAAAGAAAGGAAGAGGUAAGGUUUUCAGGUUUAAAGCAUGAAGUCUUGAUCCAGUGUCUUGGGAGGAAGCGGUCAACCUCGAUGUCAGCUGCAUCUCAUCCUAGUCGUUUGAUAAGAGGUCUUCAGCAUUUGUACAGGUGGAGUCUUUGUCAGCUGCAAAAUGUAGGCUCAAGGCUCAAGUGCCUGGAGUCUGACUGCCAUUUGAGUAGUGAGGAGGAACUGGUAUAGUCUCUUCCAAGGAGAUUCAAGGGCAGUCUUUGCUGUUAGUAAUUCU
ensembl:lncRNA